CGAACGACUCUGGUAUUGAUUGGUGCUUGCAUCAUGAUUUACAUUUGAGUGAGUGGCGAACUGGUGAGUAACACGUGGGAAACCUGCCCAGAAGCGGGGGAUAACACCUGGAAACAGAUGCUAAUACCGCAUAACAACUUGGACCGCAUGGUCCGAGUUUGAAAGAUGGCUUCGGCUAUCACUUUUGGAUGGUCCCGCGGCGUAUUAGCUAGAUGGUGGGGUAACGGCUCACCAUGGCAAUGAUACGUAGCCGACCUGAGAGGGUAAUCGGCCACAUUGGGACUGAGACACGGCCCAAACUCCUACGGGAGGCAGCAGUAGGGAAUCUUCCACAAUGGACGAAAGUCUGAUGGAGCAACGCCGCGUGAGUGAAGAAGGGUUUCGGCUCGUAAAACUCUGUUGUUAAAGAAGAACAUAUCUGAGAGUAACUGUUCAGGUAUUGACGGUAUUUAACCAGAAAGCCACGGCUAACUACGUGCCAGCAGCCGCGGUAAUACGUAGGUGGCAAGCGUUGUCCGGAUUUAUUGGGCGUAAAGCGAGCGCAGGCGGUUUUUUAAGUCUGAUGUGAAAGCCUUCGGCUCAACCGAAGAAGUGCAUCGGAAACUGGGAAACUUGAGUGCAGAAGAGGACAGUGGAACUCCAUGUGUAGCGGUGAAAUGCGUAGAUAUAUGGAAGAACACCAGUGGCGAAGGCGGCUGUCUGGUCUGUAACUGACGCUGAGGCUCGAAAGUAUGGGUAGCAAACAGGAUUAGAUACCCUGGUAGUCCAUACCGUAAACGAUGAAUGCUAAGUGUUGGAGGGUUUCCGCCCUUCAGUGCUGCAGCUAACGCAUUAAGCAUUCCGCCUGGGGAGUACGGCCGCAAGGCUGAAACUCAAAGGAAUUGACGGGGGCCCGCACAAGCGGUGGAGCAUGUGGUUUAAUUCGAAGCUACGCGAAGAACCUUACCAGGUCUUGACAUACUAUGCAAAUCUAAGAGAUUAGACGUUCCCUUCGGGGACAUGGAUACAGGUGGUGCAUGGUUGUCGUCAGCUCGUGUCGUGAGAUGUUGGGUUAAGUCCCGCAACGAGCGCAACCCUUAUUAUCAGUUGCCAGCAUUAAGUUGGGCACUCUGGUGAGACUGCCGGUGACAAACCGGAGGAAGGUGGGGAUGACGUCAAAUCAUCAUGCCCCUUAUGACCUGGGCUACACACGUGCUACAAUGGAUGGUACAACGAGUUGCGAACUCGCGAGAGUAAGCUAAUCUCUUAAAGCCAUUCUCAGUUCGGAUUGUAGGCUGCAACUCGCCUACAUGAAGUCGGAAUCGCUAGUAAUCGCGGAUCAGCAUGCCGCGGUGAAUACGUUCCCGGGCCUUGUACACACCGCCCGUCGCACCAUGAGAGUUUGUAACACCCAAAGUCGGUGGGGU
rnacentral:rRNA from 2 species